GCCUCAGUAACGGCGAGUGAAGCGGCAAUAGCUCAAAUUUGAAAUCUGCUCUUUUUGAGUCGAAUUGUAAUUUGUAGAGGAUGCUUCGGCUUACGUCUCGGUCUAAGUUCCUUGGAACAGGACGUCACAGAGGGUGAGAAUCCCGUUUGUGGCCGCGACUUCCGCCAUGUGAAGCUCCUUCGACGAGUCGAGUUGUUUGGGAAUGCAGCUCUAAAUGGGAGGUAUAUUUCUUCUAAAGCUAAAUACCGGCCAGAGACCGAUAGCGCACAAGUAGAGUGAUCGAAAGAUGAAAAGCACUUUGGAAAGAGAGUUAAAAAGUACGUGAAAUUGUUGAAAGGGAAGCGCUUGCGACCAGACUUGCCCGCGGAUGCUCAACCGGUCCUUCGGCCGGUGCACUCUUCCGCGGUCAGGCCAGCAUCAGUUCGAGUAGCCAGAUAAAGGCUUAGGGAAUGUGGCUCUCUUCGGGGAGUGUUAUAGCCCUUUGUGCAAUAUGGCUCACUUGGACUGAGGCCCGCGCUUCGGCUAGGAUGCUGGCGUAAUGGUCGUAAGCGGCCCGUCUUGAAACACGGACCAAGGAGUCUAACAUCUAUGCGAGUGUUUGGGUGUCAAACCCGUGCGCGAAAUGAAAGUGAACGGAGGUGGGAACCUUUGGGUGCACCAUCGACCGAUCCUGAUGUCUUCGGAUGGAUUUGAGUAAGAGCAUAGCUGUUGGGACCCGAAAGAUGGUGAACUAUGCCUGAAUAGGGUGAAGCCAGAGGAAACUCUGGUGGAGGCUCGCAGCGGUUCUGACGUGCAAAUCGAUCGUCAAAUUUGGGUAUAGGGGCGAAAGACUAAU
rnacentral:rRNA from 1 species